AUUGAACGCUGGCGGCAGGCCUAACACAUGCAAGUCGAACGGUAGCACAGAGAGCUUGCUCUCGGGUGACGAGUGGCGGACGGGUGAGUAAUGUCUAGGAAACUGCCUGAUGGAGGGGGAUAACUACUGGAAACGGUAGCUAAUACCGCAUAACGUCGCAAGACCAAAGAGGGGGACCUUCGGGCCUCUUGCCAUCAGAUGUGCCCAGAUGGGAUUAGCUAGUUGGCGGGGUAAAGGCCCACCAAGCCGACGAUCUGUAGCUGGUCUGAGAGGACGGCCAGCCACACUGGGACUGAGACACGGCCCAGACUCCGUACGGGAGGCAGCAGUGGGAAUUUUGGACAAUGGGGCAACCUGAUCCAGCCAUGCCGCGUGCGGGAAGAAGG
rnacentral:rRNA from 1 species